UUAAAUGCGAUGAUGGAGAGAAAGAUAUCCAGCUUAUUUACAGAGAGUUGGGGAAGGUGAAAGCCAACAAUAAGUAGAUAUGUAAUAUACACUCCAGAGCAGAUUCGUUGAACGAAUUUCAAGUAGACGAAUUCGAAGGCCCAUCGUUAUAGGGGAUAGGACUGUUAGGUCUGAUUUAAGUGAUGACUUUAUAGCUAAGUCAUAAUUAGGGUGGUACCGCGGAUAUAAAAACUCUUUCGUCCCUAUC
rnacentral:ncRNA from 1 species